rnacentral:rRNA from 1 species
AGUGUAGGCGGUUACCUAAGUCGGAUGUGAAAUCCCCGGGCUCAACCUGGGAAUUGCAUUCGAUACUGGGUAGCUAGAGUUUGGUAGAGGUAAGUGGAAUUCCGGGUGUAGCGGUGAAAUGCGUAGAUAUCCGGAGGAACAUCAGUGGCGAAGGCGGCUUACUGGACCAAAACUGACGCUGAGGCUCGAAAGCGUGGGGAGCAAACAGGAUUAGAUACCCUGGUAGUCC